rnacentral:misc_RNA from 1 species
UUUCCGUAGGUGAACCUGCGGAAGGAUCAUUACCUAGAGUUGUAGGCUUUGCCUGCUAUCUCUUACCCAUGUCUUUUGAGUACCUUCGUUUCCUCGGUGGGUUCGCUCGCCGGUUGGACAAAACUAUAACCUUUUUUAAAUCUUCAAUCAGCGUCUGAAUUAUACAUAAUAAUUACAACUUUCAACAACGGAUCUCUUGGUUCUGGCAUCGAUGAAGAACGCAGC